rnacentral:rRNA from 1 species
AUUGAACGCUGGCGGCAUGCCUUACACAUGCAAGUCGAACGGCAGCGGGGGAGAAGCUUGCUUUUCCUGCCGGCGAGUGGCGAACGGGUGAGUAAUACAUCGGAACGUGCCCUGUAGUGGGGGAUAACUAGUCGAAAGAUUAGCUAAUACCGCAUACGACCUGAGGGUGAAAGUGGGGGACCGCAAGGCCUCAUGCUAUAGGAGCGGCCGAUGUCUGAUUAGCUAGUUGGUGGGGUAAAGGCCUACAAAGGCGACGAUCAGUAGCUGGUCUGGGAGGACGAUCAGCCACACUGGGACUGAGACACGGCCCAGACUCCUACGGGAGGCAGCAGUGGGGAAUUUUGGACAAUGGGCGAAAGCCUGAUCCAGCAAUGCCGCGUGUGUGAAGAAGGCCUUCGGGUUGUAAAGCACUUUUGUCCGGAAAGAAAUAGCUCUGGUUAAUACCUGGGGUCGAUGACGGUACCGGAAGAAUAAGGACCGGCUAACUACGUGCCAGCAGCCGCCGUAAGAC